ensembl:lncRNA
GCCAUCUAUUGGUGUUUGUUAUAAAUUACAUCUUGAUUCAUGUUGAAAUGCAUGCAGGAGUGCAAUUAGUGAUUCUAAAUACAUUGUAAUCUAAAAAAUUACUUAAUUACUAACAUUCCUAUUUAAAUUAACUCUAUUAUUUAAAUAGGUUUAUAUAUAUAUAUAUAUAUAUAUAUAUAUAUAUAUAUAUAUANAUAUAUAUAUAUAUAUAUAUAUAUAUAUAUCUUUCUCUGUUCCAUCCAACCACCCAUUUCAUGACCUACAGCAGGAUAACAUUUUCUCAGUAGUGUUUGGAAGUCCGGGUCUUUUCCGCGAACUGGUUCUUUUAGUAAUCAUAACUUUAGUAAAUUAAAAAAAAACAUCAUCAUCAUAAUCUGAUAAGUUUCUUACAAAUAAUUUUUGCAACUACACUGUAAACCCUAAUGUUGUCAUUAAUAAAGAAAUCAAGUUAACAUAACUUCACAUUACUUAUAACACACAGUUUUGCCAUCAAAACUUAAACAGGUGUGUUUAACUUACUCAUUGGCAGUAAAAAUCUUUUGAAUUAAGAUUUUAAGUGUUAUAAACUCAGAAUUUCCAUUUAUUUAAAUUAUUCGCUACAUCUCUGUUUAAAAAUGAUUGGUCGUGCUUGAAAUUCUGCCUUGACAACAGCGCCGAUUGGCCAAUAUAACACAAGGCGGGAAUUUUUUGUCGAAUUUGCUGAAGACGCAGCACUGACUGCAGGCCAGAACGGAGUCAUUUGCAGAGCCACCUGAAAGAAGAACUAAAUAAUAAAGUUAAAUAGGUAAGUAAAGAUUUAAACGCAACGCAUAAAUAUACACACAUUUUUUUGAUUUCCUUAUACGUUUUAUUGUAAUGUUAUUUGCAUGGUGAAAACACUUUACCGUUUUACUCUGGCAGCGGGCCAGCGGCACAAGCAGCCACACAGGCGGCGAAGCAGGCGGGAAGAGAGUCGUCGUGAAAGACUCAGAGUACGCUGGGACAGUAGCAGGCAGGCGGUUAUGAAGCAGACGAGGAGUCGUGAGGCCACAGGAGUGACGUUCCGCUGGUAAGUUCAUCUAUAACACGCCUGUACAUUUUGCUUUAUUGUCUGUUAAAUGUUUUAUUUUUAUACGGAUGGACAAGGUAUAAAUGGCUUUAAGUUAAAAUCACCCAACUUCCAAACCUAGCAAUUGUUUUACAGACUAGCGCUGUUAGUUUACAAUAGGCCUUAGCAUGAUAUUGCGGCUCAAACUUCGAGAAAAAUCUAUUUACAGACACACUGAAAUGUCUCUGUGUGUAAUUUGUGAAAUGACGUUUUUUUUUUUUGUGUAAAA